rnacentral:rRNA from 1 species
AUGGAUGCAUCCAUGGCGCCAACGGAGGGUGACGUGCAGCCCCCGUUGCGCAUCCUCUUCUUCCCGUUCCUCCUCCCAGGCCACCUCAUCCCGAUGGCCGACAUGGCCGCGCUCUUCGCCGCCCGUGGCGUCAGGUGCACCAUCCUCACCACACCCUUGCAAGCUUCGACCAUCCGCUCCAUCGUCGACCGUGCCAACACUUCCCUAGGGUCGGUGGAUGUCGUCGUUGUUCCUUUCCCGGACGUUGGGCUUCCCCCCAGCGCCGAGAGCGGGACUGGCCUGACAUCCAAGGACUACAACAACAGGUUCCUUCGGACGGCGGAGCUGCUCCGGGAGCCCUUCCGCCGCUUCCUGUCCGACCACCACGCCGAGAUCGACGCCGUCGUCUCCGACGGUAUCUUCCACUGGUCCGUGGACGACGCCGUGGGGCAUGGCAUCCCGCGCAUCACGUUCCUCGGCACCAGCAUGUUCGCACGUUCCUGCACUGAAGCCAUGCUCUGCAGCAACCCGUUCGAGGCAUGCUCCGACGACCCAGCCGCCGUCGUCUCCCUGCCAGGGCUGCCGCACCCGGUGGUUGAGCUGCGGGGGCAGAUGAUGGAUCCUGCGAAGCGGCCACAUGAGUGGGCAUUGUUCCAGCUCAUCCACGCCGCGGAUCGGCGGAGCUACGGCGAGCUCUUCAACAGCUUCCACGAGCUGGAGCCGGCCUACGCCGAGCACUACCGCGCCACACUCCACCGCCGAGCCUGGCUUGUCGGCCCGGUUGCGCUCGCAAGCGGCAGCGGGAAGGACGUGGCGUCAAGAGGCGCCAUUGCUGGCGCGCUCUCGCCGGAGGCCAUCGGGUGCCUGCGGUGGCUCGACAAGAAGCCGGCCAGCUCGGUGGUGUACGUCUCCUUUGGCACGAUGACCAGCUUCUCGCCAGAGCAGACGCGGGAGCUCGCCCACGGCCUUGGCCUCUCGGGCAAAAACUUCCUGUGGGUCAUCACCAAUGGCAGUGCUGCUGCUGCAUCAACGGAUCUGUGUAUGCCAGAUGGGUUGUCGAUGGCGCACCGCGACCGCGGGUACAUCAUCCGGGGCUGGGCGCCGCAGGUGCUGAUCCUGAACCACCCCGCUGUGGGCGGUUUCAUGACACACUGCGGGUGGAACUCCACGCUGGAGGCUGUUAGCGCCGGCGUGCCCAUGGUGACUUGGCCGCGGUACGCCGACCAGUUCCACAACGAGAAGCUCGUCGUGGAGGUGCUUGGGGUGGGCGUCAGCGUCGGUGCUGAGGAUUACGCAUCAUGUGUGGAGACCCACCAGGUUGUCGCCGGCGAGAUGAUCGCCGAAUCCAUCAAGAAAGCGAUGAAAAAGGAUGGUGACGGUGACACGGUGUGGAAGAAGGCUGAGGAGCUUGGCGUGAUGGCGUGUAAAGCGGUGGAGAAGGGCGGGUCGUCGUACGAGGAUGUCGGGCAGCUCAUGGAGGAGUUGAUGGCCCGCCGGACGUAA